AAGGGUCCGUAGGCGGAUCCGUAAGUCAGUGGUGAAAUCUCAUAGCUUAACUAUGAAACUGCCAUUGAUACUGCGGGUCUUGAGUAAGGUAGAAGUAGCUGGAAUAAGUAGUGUAGCGGUGAAAUGCAUAGAUAUUACUUAGAACACCAAUUGCGAAGGCAGGUUACUAUGUCUUAACUGACGCUGAUGGACGAAAGCGUGGGGAGCGAACAGGAUUAGAUACCCUGGUAGUCCACGCCGUAAACGAUGCUAACUCGUUUUUGGGCUUUCGGGUUCAGAGACUAAGCGAAAGUGAUAAGUUAGCCACCUGGGGAGUACGAACGCAAGUUUGAAACUCAAAGGAAUUGACGGGGGCCCGCACAAGCGGUGGAUUAUGUGGUUUAAUUCGAUGAUACGCGAGGAACCUUACCAAGACUUAAAUGGGAAUUGAUCGGUUUAGAAAUAGACCUUCCUUCGGGCAAUUUUCAAGGUGCUGCAUGGUUGUCGUCAGCUCGUGCCGUGAGGUGUUAGGUUAAGUCCUGCAACGAGCGCAACCCCUGUCACUAGUUGCCAUCAUUAAGUUGGGGACUCUAGUGAGACUGCCUACGCAAGUAGAGAGGAAGGUGGGGAUGACGUCAAAUCAUCACGGCCCUUAUCGUCUUGGGCCACACACGUAAUACAAUGGCCGGUACAGAGGGCAGCUACACAGCGAUGUGAUGCAAAUCUCGAAAGCCGGUCUCAGUUCGGAUU
rnacentral:rRNA from 1 species